rnacentral:rRNA from 1 species
CUGGGCGUAAGCGUGCGCAGGCGGUUAUGUAAGACAGAUGUGAAAUCCCCGGGCUCAACCUGGGAACUGCAUUUGUGACUGCAUGGCUAGAGUACGGUAGAGGGGGAUGGAAUUCCGCGUGUANCAGUGAAAUGCGUUAGAUAUGCGGAGGAACACCGAUGGCGAAGGCAAUCCCCUGGACCUGUACUGACGCUCAUGCACGAAAGCGUGGGGAGCAAACAUGGAUUAGAUACCNUGGUAGUCCACGCCCUAAAC